rnacentral:rRNA from 1 species
UACGUAGGGGGCAAGCGUUGUCCGGAUUUAUUGGGCGUAAAGAGCGUGUAGGCGGCCUGACAGGUCAGCUGUGAAAACUCGAGGCUCAACCUCGAGACGUCGGUUGAAACCAUCUGGCUAGAGUCCGGAAGAGGAGUGUGGAAUUCCCGGUGUAGCGGUGAAAUGCGCAGAUAUCGGGAAGAACACCCGUGGCGAAGGCGGCCUUCUGGACCAGUACUGACGCUCAUGCACGAAAGCGUGGGGAGCAAACAGG